rnacentral:rRNA from 1 species
GAUGAACGCUGGCGGCGUGCCUAAUACAUGCAAGUCGAGCGAACGGACGAGAAGCUUUCUUCUCUGAUGUUAGCGGCGGACGGGUGAGUAACACGUGGAUAACCGACCUAUAAGACUGGGAUAACUUCGGGAAACCGGAGCUAAUACCGGAUGAUAUUUUGAACCGCAUGGUUCAAAAGUGAAAGACGGUCUUGCUGUCACUUAUAGAUGUAUCCGCGCUGCAUUAGCUAGUUGGUAAGGUAACGGCUUACCAAGGCAACGAUGCAUAGCCGACCUGAGAGGGUGAUCGGCCACACUGGAACUGAGACACGGUCCAGACUCCUACGGGAGGCAGCAGUAGGGAAUCUUCCGCAAUGGGCGAAAGCCUGACGGAGCAACGCCGCGUGAGUGAUGAAGGUCUUCGGAUCGUAAAACUCUGUUAUUAGGGAAGAACAUAUGUGUAAUUAACUGUGCACAUCUUGACGGUACCUAAUCAGAAAGCCACGGCUAACUACGUG